rnacentral:rRNA from 1 species
AUUGAACGCUGGCGGCAGGCCUAACACAUGCAAGUCGAGCGGAUGAGUGGAGCUUGCUCCAUGAUUCAGCGGCGGAUGGGUGAGUAAUGCCUAGGAAUCUGCCUGGUAGUGGGGGACAACGUUUCGAAAGGAACGCUAAUACCGCAUACGUCCUACGGGAGAAAGUGGGGGAUCUUCGGACCUCACGCUAUCAGAUGAGCCUAGGUCGGAUUAGCUAGUUGGUGAGGUAAAGGCUAACCAAGGCGACGAUCCGUAACUGGUCUGAGAGGAUGAUCAGUCACACUGGAACUGAGACACGGUCCAGACUCCUACGGGAGGCAGCAGUGGGGAAUAUUGGACAAUGGGCGAAAGCCUGAUCCAGCCAUGCCGCGUGUGUGAAGAAGGUCUUCGGAUUGUAAAGCACUUUAAGUUGGGAGGAAGGGCAGUAAGUUAAUACCUUGCUGUUUUGACGUUACCAACAGAAUAAGCACCGGCUAACUUCGUGCCAGCCGCCGCAGUAACAC